rfam:Oryza nivara chromosome 1, whole genome shotgun sequence.
AACAAAAGCAGCCAUGAAUUUCAGUGUUCAACUUUGAUCGUCCAUCUUAUUUGAAUUUUUUUUUUACGAUUAGUAUUUAUACUGUUAUUAGAUUAUAAAACAUGAAUAAUACUUUAUGCGUGACUUUUGUUUUUUAGUUUUUUAAAAAAUAUUUUAAAUAAGACGAACGAUUAAAUUUGUACACGGAAACUCAUUGUUGCAUUUAUU